UUUUACUUACAUAAAGAGAAGGAAUAAAAACAGUUAGUUAACAUGAAGCACAAUCAUAUGGAUGUGAAUACCGUAGUGACUGAUAAUGUGAGUCAGGGACAUUUAGGUUUGUUAUGAAAUGUGUGGACUGAUUGAUAACUAUUGUGUUUUCAUAUAUUUUGGCUUUUUAGCAAGGACAC